rnacentral:rRNA from 1 species
UACGGAGGGGACUAGCGUUGUUCGGAAUUACUGGGCGUAAAGCGCACGUAGGCGGAUUGUUAAGUCAGGGGUGAAAUCCUGGAGCUCAACUCCAGAACUGCCUUUGAUACUGGCAAUCUAGAGUCCGGAAGAGGUGAGUGGAACUCCUAGUGUAGAGGUGGAAUUCGUAGAUAUUAGGAAGAACACCAGUGGCGGAGGCGGCUCACUGGUCCGGUACUGACGCUGAGGUGCGAAAGCGUGGGGAGCAAACAGG